GGAAUUAACCAUGAUAAUGAAAAGCAUAAAGAAAUUGCCAAUACACAAAUAACAUACAAGAAUUUUGUCCACAUUCAGAUCUAUCAGCCAAUUUUAGAUCUAAUUUAACCAUUACAAUACACAGAGAAAGCCAACAUUCAGAUUUAUCGGCCAAGGGGCAGCAAUAUCACUCCAAUUUAUAUGAGAACCAAACCACUUCACAUUAAUAAUUCAUCAACCAAUUCAUGUGCAAGGGUAGUUAUGUACUUUCUUUUUCUUAU
rnacentral:misc_RNA from 1 species